ACUUAGACCUAAGUGCAAAAAUGGAGGCUCUAUGGAAACCAAGCGUCACUGGUGAGUUGAGUUUGACCUCUUAAACCUCCAUUCAGGAACACAAUUUGGACUGGUUUCCUCGUAUGAGGGCCAUGUCUCUGGUCAGCAGUGAUGGAGAAGGUGAGCAGAAUGAACUACGCAGUCUACAGGAGAAACUGGAGUCCACAAUGAGGUUGGUCUCCAACCUGACCAAUCAGCUCACAGAGCUCAAAGAGCAGAUGACUGAGCAGAGGAAACACAAGCAACGGAUUGGUCUGCUGGGAAACCCCGCCCACCUAAAUAUCAACCCACAGCAGCCGGCAUGAGAGACGUGGUCUGAGGUCUGACUGACAUGAUGGAAGCAAGACAAGCAUAUAUGUGCUCAUAGUGUCACUACCUUAAAAGCAUGUUAUAUUCUCUUAGUAUGGACUCUAACAUGGUCAUAAAGUUAUACUUGGAUCUGUACAAUCAAAGGACUUGAAUCAUGAUAUUUUGGCCCCCAUUGCUGUAUGAUGUGGUAUAUUCAUAUUUUAAGCACUGACAUGAUCACAAGAAUCUUUGCACUGUGUAUAAGUAUAGUAUUAUAGGAUGCUUUCACAGAGUGGUUCUCAGAAUUAUGUCCCUCUGGUUUUCUUCGCACCUUUUUACCAAAAUGGAUUCAGUUUGUCAUUAAUGUGUGAAAGUUUUGUAUAUUUAAUAUAUUUAUUUUGAUAUUUCUCUUUUCGAAUUUCAAUUACUGUGAUUGGUUGGCACUGAUUAAAAUCUGUUUAGACUGAUUAAAAUCUGUUUAGACAAGUUUCUAGUAAGUAACAUGUAACAAUGAUUGAGACUUGAUACCUUACUCCUUUGGACUUUAAAGGUUGGGUUCACUUUAUAGGAACAUGUCUGCUAUGAAGAUGCAAAAAUAAGUAAAUUCAGUAGAACUUGGAGACAAUAUUACAUGACAGAAUGAUUUAAUGAAAAAAUGUGACAUUGUGCAUCAAAUUUGAGAACCAUGAGCUUCAAGCACAUUAGCAUAUUCAGCCCUACUGAUCACAGCGACCUGCAGGACAGAAUACGUCACAGAUUCACAGAGCUCUUCACAUUUAGUUCUCAGAGGUGCUCUUCAAAUAAUAGAUGAAAAAGAAAUAAUCCUAGUAAUAAGCAUGACAGUAAUUGAGAUGAACACUUUAAUCACUUAAUCUCCUUAAACACUAGACUGUAAAGUAAAGUAAAAAAAAAAAAAAUUAAAGCACAAAUCAAUUUCAAAUAUA